CAUGUGUUUUUUAUUGAACAAAUUUCUUUGGUGGCGGGAGCAAUCCUACCGCCAGAGGUUAUAACUAAACCAAACUUUUUAUUUACAGUCAAACUUGAUUUAUUAUUACAAUAGUCAAAACUUUCAACAACGGAUCUCUUGGUUCUCGCAUCGAUGAAGAACGCAGCGAAAUGCGAUACGUAAUAUGAAUUGCAGAUAUUCGUGAAUCAUCGAAUCUUUGAACGCACAUUGCGCCCUUUGGUAUUCCAAAGGGCAUGCCUGUUUGAGCGUCAUUUCUCCCUCAAACCCCCGGGUUUGGUGUUGAGCAAUACGCUAGGUUUGUUUGAAAGAAUUUAACGUGGAAACUUAUUUUAAGCGACUUAGGUUUAUCCAAAAACGCUUAUUUUGCUAGUGGCCACCACAAUUUAUUUCAUAACUUUGACCUCAAAUCAGGUAGGACUACCCGCUGAACUUAAGCAUAUCAAUAAGCGGNGG
rnacentral:rRNA from 1 species